rnacentral:rRNA from 1 species
GAUGAACGCUGGCGGCGUGCUUAACACAUGCAAGUCGAACGAAGAUGCCGGAGUGCUUGCACUUUGGCAGACUGAGUGGCGGACGGGUGAGUAACGCGUGGGUAACCUGCCUUAUACAGGGGGAUAACAGUUGGAAACGACUGCUAAUACCGCAUAAGCGCACGGUAUCGCAUGAUACAGUGUGAAAAACUCCGGUGGUAUAAGAUGGACCCGCGUCUGAUUAGCUAGUUGGUGAGGUAACGGCCCACCAAGGCGACGAUCAGUAGCCGGCCUGAGAGGGUGAACGGCCACAUUGGGACUGAGACACGGCCCAAAAUCCUACGGGAGCAGCAGUGGGGAAUAUUGCACAAUGGGGGAAACCCUGAUGCAGCGACGCCGCGUGAGUGAUGAAGUAUUUCGGUAUGUAAAACUCUAUCAGCAGGGAAGAUAAUGACGGUACCUGACUAAGAAGCACCGGCUAAAAUACGUGCC